rnacentral:rRNA from 1 species
AGGACGAACGCUGGCGGCGUGCUUAACACAUGCAAGUCGAGCGGUAAGGCCCUUUCGGGGGUACACGAGCGGCGAACGGGUGAGUAACACGUGAGCAAUCUGCCCUUCACUUCGGGAUAAGCCUCGGAAACGGGGUCUAAUACCGGAUAUGACUGCGCCAUGCAUGUGGUGUGGUGGAAAGUUCUGGCGGUGAGGGAUGAGCUCGCGGCCUAUCAGCUUGUUGGUGGGGUAAACGCGUACCAACGGACGUUCGUACGGGUAGGACCGGCCCGUGA